UACGAAGGGGGCUAGCGUUGCUCGGAAUCACUGGGCGUAAAGCGUGCGCAGGCGGUUUUGUAAGUCUGACGUGAAAUCCCCCGGGCUUAACCUGGGAAUUGCGUUGGAGACUGCAAGGCUGGAGUCUGGCAGAGGGGGGGUAGAAUUCCACGUGUAGCAGUGAAAUGCGUAGAGAUGUGGAGGAACACCGAUGGCGAAGGCAGCCCCCCUGGGUCAAGACUGACGCUCAUGCACGAAAGCGUGGGGAGCAAACAGG
rnacentral:rRNA from 1 species